rnacentral:tRNA from 1 species
CAAUUUAUAGUAUAUCAUAUAAUACAUUUUAUUUACAUUAAAAUUAAAUUCUUAGAAUUAAAUUGA